CAGCCGCCACGGUAAUACGAGGGGUGCAAGCGUUAUUCGGAUUGAUUGGGUGUAAAGGGUGUGCAGACGGCUUAUUAAGUCACUUGUUAAAUUCUUCGGCCUAACUGAAGGUCUGCAAGUGAUACUGAUGAGCUAGAGGGUGGAAGAGAGAAGUGGAAUUCUCGGAGUAGCGGUAAAAUGCGUAGAUCUCGAGAGGAACACCAAUGGCGAAGGCAGCUUCUUGGUCCAUUCCUGACGUUCAUACACGAAAGCGUGGGGAGCAAACAGGAUUAGAUACCCGCGUAGUCCCUGUCUCUUAUAA
rnacentral:rRNA from 1 species